rnacentral:rRNA from 1 species
AACGAACGCUGGCGGCAGGCUUAACACAUGCAAGUCGAACGCUCUCUUCGGAGAGAGUGGCAGACGGGUGAGUAACGCGUGGGAAUCUACCCAUCCCUACGGAACAACUCCGGGAAACUGGAGCUAAUACCGUAUACGCCCUUCGGGGGAAAGAUUUAUCGGGGAUGGAUGAGCCCGCGUUGGAUUAGCUAGUUGGUGGGGUAAUGGCCUACCAAGGCGACGAUCCAUAGCUGGUCUGAGAGGAUGAUCAGCCACACUGGGACUGAGACACGGCCCAGACUCCUACGGGAGGCAGCAGUGGGGAAUAUUGGACAAUGGGCGCAAGCCUGAUCCAGCCAUGCCGCGUGAGUGAUGAAGGCCCUAGGGUUGUAAAGCUCUUUCAACGGUGAAGAUAAUGACGGUAGCCGUAGAAGAAGCCCCGGCCAACUUCGUGCCAGCAGCCGCGGUAAUACGAAGGGGGCUAGCGUUGUUCGGAAUUACUGGGCGUAAAGCGCACGUAGGCGGAUUGAUCAGUUGGGGGUGAAAUCCCAGGGCUUAACCCUGGAACUGCCUUCAAUACUG